AGUGCAAGCCGAGCGGCCGCCCCGCCAUGAGAUUUGGGCUCCCGUUUAGGGCGGAGGUUCAUUUUGGCGGGGAGGAAAGUCCGGACACCAAAGAGCAGGGUGCUGGCUAACGACCAGUCGGGGAAACCCGCAGGCAAGUGCCACAGAAAGUAAACCGCCUGCUCGGCGGCGUGGGGCGCCGGCUUCGGCUGGAGCUUCGCGGCGCUGGUGGGUAAGGGUGAAAAGGUGCGGUAAGAGCGCACCGGAGGCGUGGUGACACGUCUGCCAGGUAAACCCCACCCGGUGCAAGGCCAAAUAGGAGGGCGUUACGGGUUGCUCGCCCGGCCCUCGGGUAGGCCGCACGAGGAGCGCGGUGACGCGCUUCCCAGAUAGAUGGUCGCAUAGAACAGAAUCCGGCUUACAGGCUUGCUAACC
rnacentral:RNase_P_RNA from 1 species